rnacentral:rRNA from 1 species
GACGAACGCUGGCGGCGUGCCUAAUACAUGCAAGUAGAACGCUGAAGCUUGGUGCUUGCACCGAGCGGAUGAGUUGCGAACGGGUGAGUAACGCGUAGGUAACCUGCCUGGUAGCGGGGGAUAACUAUUGGAAACGAUAGCUAAUACCGCAUAAGAGUAGAUGUUGCAUGACAUUUGCUUAAAAGGUGCAAUUGCAUCACUACCAGAUGGACCUGCGUUGUAUUAGCUAGUUGGUGAGGUAACGGCUCACCAAGGCAACGAUACAUAGCCGACCUGAGAGGGUGAUCGGCCGCACUGGGACGGAGACACGGCCCAGACUCCUACGGGAGGCAGCAGUAGGGAAUCUUCGGCAAUGGACGGAAGUCUGACCGAGCAACGCCGCGUGAGUGAAGAAGGUUUUCGGAUCGUAAAGCUCUGUUGUAAGAGAAGAACGAGUGUGAGAGUGGAAAGUUCACACUGUGACGGUAGCUUACCAGAAAGGGACGGCUAACUACGUG